GCGGCGGGUAGGAUCGGGAGCUAGCCCUGCCCCUUGCCUCAGUAUGGGCUAUAGGGGGGUCAGUAACCCUGGGGUGGUUCGGUGGAUCUCUCCGUCAUGUCCUUGGCGUCCCGUCGAUGGCCUGCCCCGUGGGGCCGGCGGUCGUCCGUUUCGCCCUCGUAGGGGGGCGGGGCGGUGGUAGUCGGGUGAAAGUGGUCAGGCCCGGGAGGGAGCAGCCUAAGCUCGGACGUUGGGUGCUCGCGGGUUCCGGGCCGGAGGGGGGCCUUGGGUCUCUGUCGGGGGGUGAAUCUGGGGUGUCUUGGGGGGCCGUCGC
rnacentral:SRP_RNA from 1 species